AAGCCCACUUUUCCUUUCUCACCAGAUUUGGGUUCACGUCGUCACCCCGCCAGAUAUGGGUUCACCUAUGUUUCCCUUUUAACGUUAUAGAUCUGGUUCCUUUUGUGGGCGGUAGAAAGAGAGGAGAUAGGUUUUGCAUGCCUCCCUUUUUCACUUUCAGCUGCCUCCUUUUUUCCUUUUUAAAGCUGCUCAUUUUUCUUCU
rnacentral:lncRNA from 1 species